UACGGAGGGGGCGAGCGUUAUUCGGAAUUAUUGGGCGUAAAGGGCGCGUAGGCGGCUGUACAAGUCAAAGGUGAAAUCCCUCGGCUCAACUGAGGAACUGCCUUUGAAACUGUACGCUUGAGGCCGGGAGGGGGUAGCGGAAUUCCCAGUGUAGCGGUGAAAUGCGUAGAUACUGGGAGGAACACCAGUGGCGAAGGCGGCUCACUGGACCGGUACUGACGCUGAUGCGCGAAAGCGUGGGGAGCAAACGGGG
rnacentral:rRNA from 1 species